rnacentral:misc_RNA from 1 species
AAAGGUGCAUGAGUGGUGUUUGGUUUGUUACGGGUGGUUGGCUCUUUGCUUGUGCAACAACUUCCACCUGGCAUACCUCUUCAGUCUUUUGUCAAUGCUUAUGUUGCAUUGAAUGCACAGUGGGUUUCUUGUGUUGCAUGCCUAAUUGAUGGUAUCGUUUGAUGAAUUGAUGUCCAUUUUCGUCUUGUGUCGCAUAUGUGAUGUGAGAUGAACCUUAAAGCAGCAUUUGUGAUCCACUCUUUUGAUGCACACGCAUUGAUUUUGUGGCCCAUUGAGUGUUGCUUGGUCUCAUGGAUAUGGAACCUUGUGUGGGCAUGGGAUCUUUUACUAGUUCCUUGUUUGUCCUAG